CAAGCCGUGCCUCAGUCUAGAUUAUCAUCUUUACCAAGUGCAAGUUCCGACUGGCAUCAGCAGCAUCCCCUGAGCAGUGCUGUCUCUCUCUCCCCACCCCCUUCUCUGCCUCUCUCUGUCUCUCCCUCCUUCCUGGUACUCUUCUCUUUCAGUUUCUCUGCCAACAUGAUUGGACCAAGCCACCAACCCUCAGUCACUCUUUGGUGGCCACCAGGCCCACAGUGAGGGAUCUGACCAGAAGAUGUCAGAGCGGGCCCUCUUCCAACUGCUUCUGACUCCACACACCAGCAGCAGGGCCCAAAUAUGGAUGAGGAGCUGUGGACAGAGGACAUUUCUAUGCUGCUACUUCACCUUCUUCUUGGAGAGUGAUCCAAAACUUGGCUUAGGGAAGAAACAGUGAGCUCAGUAUUAUCUUCACUGGGAAGAUGUCACUUGGCUCUCCCCCCGACCAUGCUUCUAUCUCCAAGGAGCCAGUCAGUGAUCUGGGUGCUUUGCAACAGUGAGAAGAAAGAUCUCACCUUCCACAUGUAGCUGGAGUGGGGACCACAUGAGGAGUUGGGAAGUGCUCCUUGGGGGUACCUCCUACCUGUUUGCUUGGUGUCUGGAGGCCUCUUGUCCGUUGGAGUCUCCUUGGAGCCCUUAAAGGGGUCCAUAUAGACCUGUCUGCCCAGCUCUUCCCCUGCCUGUGGAAAACAAGACAGGAGAAAAAUAUAGCAGUUCAAUUCCACCAUGGAGACACCCUAACUUCUAAUCUAGCUCAUAGCAGCAGAAGUGUAAGGUGGAGGGGAGAAAAAGAAAGAGUGCUGCAGCUGCCCUAGAAGAAGCAUUUGCUGUUCUCCGUUCACUCCCAAAUCCAACUGCAUAAUCAUAGGUCUAGUUCAUUGCCAGAGCCUGAGUGCUGUCUAGAGAAGGCACCCCCACCUCCUUGUCACCCUUCAUCAAACAUCCAUGUGAAAUGCGAGUGCAUCCAGGAGAUUCUACCUCCAGCCAUCUCCAAGGCUCCAUGCCCACCAUCCUUGAGAACUUCACAGAAGGCUGGGGCAGACAGCCUAGUCUCUGGCCCCCACGCCUGCAGAAUCUGGUGCCAUUGCUAUGCAGAUGACUUUGUCACUGGGCUCUCCAGACCUCCUUGGAACUAUUUCAUCAACAUCUCAGCUGUGUCUUUAGUCAUUCUCCUUCUUCCUCUCUUCAGCAUCAUUGGAAGAAACAUACACAAGCACAGUCACACCAGGGCAAACCAAAUGCCAGCCAGCCUUGGCCCCCAGCUUGUCAUGCCUGGGGAGGACUGGAGAGCCAAGCUGAGGGACUGGCUGGAAAUUAAAGAAGGGACAUACAACUGACUGUGGCCCUGGCAUCCAUCUCUCCAUCUGUCAGGCAAAUGUGUGCUCAGAAAUGGGUCCUGGGUGAGCAGGGGCUAUGGUGAGAUGUGGUCUAGUGGUGGGUCCGAAGAGCCUAUAGUUUGGAAGGGACCUUCUAUGCUGUGUGGAUCCGUAUCCACCAUAAGCAGGAAUCUCUUCUGCCAGGUCUGGUAUGGAAUUGUCCUCCACUUUGGGAAGCAAGGAGAAGGCAGAGUCGAUAAGGAUCUGGCAGUUUUGCCUUCACCCUCUGAGCAUCAGACAUCAUUCUUUGUCAUCCACUCAAAAGGAACCCUAAGUGGGGAAGGAGCCACUCGUUUCCAACAGAGUCCAUGCAGCAUCCUGCACUUUCAAGAACACUAGCUCCUUUGGAUAUGAAUGUGUGUGUGUGUGUGUGUGCACAUGCGUGUGAGUGCAUGUGCGACCAUGCGUGUGUAAGUGUGUCUGCCCUAGGAGUAGGCAGAGAGCUCCAAAAGAUUUCUUGUCCCACGUAGAAGGAUGUUGAAGUGUUUCCCUUCUGUGUACCCUGGUUCAUCAAUUCAUCCUGCAGCUUCAGGAUAUUUCAACACUUGCUUUCUAUGCUGAGUGCUGGAGAAGAGGUGAUCCAUCCAUAAAAAUUCAGGGUGGUCACCUGCUGAGGCUGGGACUUUGGUGACCUAGAGCAGAGCGUCACAUGGCAUUGGAGAGGACAAAUGGAAAAGAUACAAGCAACCUAACAAGUAGGAAAAGGAGAAUGAGAAAAGAUGCAUUUAAAAGGAGAAAACAAAUGUAACCAAAGGUUUCGGCAAAUGUGCCAGAUGGAGAAACAUGGAAUUUCUAUCGUUGAUCAUGUUAUUUUCUCCCCAAAAGCCACAGGACCUGAAGGGCAGAAAGAGUGCAUGUGGGAAGCGGGCUGAGGAAUCACCUUGGCCACUAAAAUAUUUUUGCACACAUGAAAGGGUGGGGAAGAGAGACACAAACAUUUAACACAGAUUUGCUGGCUGGAAGCUCCGAGUGAGUGUGUAUGAGUGAAUGCAUUUUGAUUUAUUUUUUAAGUUUUGCACAGUUAGAAAAAAAAAUGAACAAGAAAAAAAAAGACUGUUAUCAUGGUUUUGCUGAAGCUUUUAUUUUUUACCAGAUGAUUAUUAUUGUUACUAUUACGCUGUCGGUACAGGACUUUUCCCCCCAUGUUUUUGUUAUAAACAACACUUCAAACAUCACAGAGAAACCCAAAUGUCAGGAAGAAAAUAGAGGGAAGGACAGACAAGUUUCCUGUCUCUCCUCAUUUCUGCCAGGACUGAGGAAACCCUGUCUCUGACUUUGACUUCACAGCAUGCUGGUCAGUGUUUAACCAAGUGAAGAGCCGGUGUUCCCACCAUCAGGAACAACCUUCCCUCUUUCUCACAGGGAAGCAAGGAGGGAGGGGAAGACUGACCUAGGGAGCCACUCUGAAGGCAGAAAGCCCAGAGACACCUGCCUCAUGUCCCUCCCAGGAAUAGCACCUAGGGAGCAGUCCCAGCAAGCUCCUAGAGGCCUCUGAGGGGCAUUUCUUUGGUGAGUGAUCUCCAGGGACACAACAGGCCUGGGUGGUUCACUCCUCUGGCUCCUCUUGGGCCUUUUCUUUUGUUCCUCAUCCAUAUAAAGGCCCUUUAGGACAGGUGACUGGGGCACUCUGACUUCUCCACUCUUUCCAUUUAAAAAGCUAUGGGCUAUUUAUUUGGAGUCUUGUUCAUUAUUAUUUUUCUUUGUAUAUUUUAAGAGUUUGAGAGUAAGAAAGGAGCCUGGGUGUGGGAAUAAAGUCCAAAGGACUGGAGGGAAGGACACCUGUGACUUCAGAAAAGAUGAGGAGAACCUCAAGGGCCAAGGGUAACCUCUCCUAUCGUUAAAAAAGGAGUCAGGAAAUUCCCCCAAUGUAGAUGUGCUAGGGGAAGCUACCUGCCUGGUUGCUAAGACUCUCAGGGCCUGCUCUUUUGACAGAGUGGCCAUUACACCCCUCUUUUCCCUCCUUACCCCAAGGUGUUCUGCACAGAGCCAACUAGAGCCUUACCUCACAAGGGGGCGGCCACAAGAGACCCUGAAGAGACAGCUCCUAAAGGAGGCCAGGACACUACCAGCCUCUUCUCUCAUGGUGCUCUGAGUGGGGUACAGAGCCUUAGCCUGGAUAUCUGACCAUUCUUCCUGUUUAGAAAGUAAUCACUGCAGGAAAAGUUUCAGGCAUUAAGAGAGACUUUUUUCUUUCUUUCUCUUUCUUUCUUUCUUUUUUACUACAAAUCAUUGCUCCCCAAUAAAACUAUCUUUUUAUUAUGGGGAAUGUCCAAGUUUUAAAAAUAUAUAGAAUUUUUUGGUUAUAAAAGUAAUACAUACUCAUUAGAGUCACAAUUAGAUUCCUCAAGUAGACUGAUGACUAGUAGAAAGCAAAUCUAAGAAAAACAAAACAAAAUCAUUAAGGAAAAAAAGAACUUUCUGUUAGUAUUGGCAGAGGUAUAGUGAAGUGGCCCAGGUGGGCUUGAAGCCCUUGGCUGGGGAGUUUCACCUGCCUCUUCUCCCUCCUCCUUGAGCUUAUGUCUUGUCUUGGCUUUCCAAGCUGCCCCUGGAGUUGCUGAAUCCUACAUAUUUCUUAUCAGCUUCCCUCAAGCUACAGGGAAGCCCUGUCUGGGGUACCCGAAUUCUCCCUCCCCAAGAAUGCAAAAGCAAAUAGACUCCGCCUAUGCAGCUCGUUUCCCACUGGUUUCUUUCGUUAGUAUCUUUGAACUUCAACUCAAGCACAUUUUGGAAGGGCUCCCUUUUGAGAGUAGAAUUCAAAACAGAGGAUACAGUUAAAUAGCAACCCAAAAGCCACUUCAGAACCCAAGACCACUUUAGCAGACAGGACUAAUGAACGCUUGCACACACAGAGGACAGUGGGCAUCCAGGCACAGAAUGAAGAUGGACUACAUGUCUUCAUCUGUUCUCCUUCCCACUGCUUUCCUGGAUGUUCUUGUCAGCUUGUUGGCUUGUUAAACCUUCCGUUCUUUGACAGAAAAGCUAGUUUACCUCAAAGAAUCUUGUUUCCAUUUGGAAACUAAUGACUUUGUGCUUUGGGGUGGAUGACCCUCCCCUUCCAUCACCCCCUGCCUGGGCUUGGUGUCCUUGGGCAUGAUUUUGGCUUAGUCCCAUGUUGACUGCUCUGAGUGAGAACAAGGCCUCCAGGCCCUGCAGUGGGAAGAAGGAUUGGAUGCAGAUGCCUUCCUCCCCACUUUAGCUUGUAGGGACUAGCCUCUCUUCCAUCAGGGUCCUGCCAGGUUACCACAGCAACCAACAACUCCAGGGUACCACAAUAGACAACGGCUUAGUGAGCUGAGGUGCAGGGGGAGAGCAGGGGUUCUGGCCUGGUCAGAUGACCCAGAAUGAAACCCCAAAUCCUACAGGGGGAAGAGGAAGAACAGGAAUGGGUGCAUGGGUGUUUUAAGGAACUGCCAGAGGUCUUUCAGUCUCAGAGAGAGGCCACUGAAGGAGGUAGAAGAGGUCAUUUCUGUUCCAGUUACCCUCUUCCUGCCCCACCCCACUUCUGUUCCAAAAUAAAGCUCCCACCUUGAACACUGACCCUUUGUUAGAACACAGCAAAAUAUACCUUUAGACAACAGUGUUAAAAAUGAGCCUCAAAGAUAGGUGGAUGAGACCGAUGUGAAAAAGAGGGUCUUCUGGUUUUGGUUUUUAAAGAAGAGUAUCCUAAUAAGAUUUACAAAAAAAGAUUUUAAAAAAGUUUUUAAAAAGAAAACCUAUGAUAUUUAAAUUGGAGCCCAGUUGUAACUUGGUAAAGGCAAGCUUCUGUACCUUUGUUAUAAUUAAUUGUAUACCUGUGUAUGUAAAUAUAAGGCAUUCCUAUUUUGCAGUUCAGAACAAAAAACUUAUUUGUAAUAUAGAAUAAAGUUUAUUAAAAAAUAAU
ensembl:lncRNA